UCCAGCUCCUAACCGCGAGUGAUCCGCCAGCCUUGGCCUCCCGAGGUGCCGGGAUUGCAGACGGAGUCUGGUUCACUCAGCGCUCAAUGGUGCCCAGGCUGGAGUGCAGUGGCGUGAUCUCAGCUCGCUACAACCUCCAUCUCCCAGCCGCCUGCCUUGGCCUCCCAAAGUGCCGAGAUUGCAGCCUCUGCCCGGCCACCACCCCGUCUGGGAAGUGAGGAGCGUCUCUGCCUGGCCGCCCAUCGUCUGGGACGUGAGGAGCCCCUCUGCCUGGCUGCCCAGUCUGGAAAGUGAGGAGCGUCUCUGACCGGCCGCCAUCCCAUCUAGGAAGUGAGGAGCGCCUCUUCCCGGCAGCCAUCCCAUCUGGGAAGUGAGGAGCGUCUCUGCCCGGCCGCCCAUCGUCUGAGAUGUGGGGAGCGCCUCUGCCCCGCCGCCCCGUCUGGGAGGUGAGGAGCGUCUCUGCCCGGCCGCCCCGUCUGAGAAGUGAGGAGACCCUCCGCCCAGCAUCCGCCCCAUCUGAGAAGUGAGGAGCCCCUCCGCCCGGCAGCCGCCCCGUCUGAGAAGUGAGGAGUCCCUCUGCCCGGCAGCCACCCAGUCUGGGAAGUGAGGAGCGUCUCCGCCCGGCAGCCGCCCCGGCCGGGAGGGAGGUGGGGGGGUCAGCCCCCCGCCCGGCCAGCCGCCCCGUCCGGGAGGGAGGUGGGGGGGUCAGCCCCCCGUCCGGGAGGGAGGUGGGGGCGGUCAGCCCCCCGCCCGGCCAGCCGCCCCAUCCGGGAGGGAGGUGGGGGGGUCAGCCCCCCGCCCGGCCAGCCGCCCCGUCCGGGAGGGAGGUGGGGGGUCAGCCCCCCUCCCGGCCAGCCGCCCCGUCCGGGAGGUGAGGGGCGCCUCUGCCCAGCCGCCCCUACUGGGAAGUGAGGAGCCCCUCUGCCUGGCCAGCCACCCCGUCCAGGAGGGAGGUGGGGGAGUCAGCCCCCCACCCGGCCAGCCGCCCCGUCCGGGAGGGAGGUGGGGGGGUCAGCCCCCUGCCCGGCCAGCCGCCCUGUCCAGGAGGGAGGUGGGGGGGUCAGCCCCCCGCCCGGCCAGCCGCCCCGUCUGGGAGGGAGGUGGGGUCAGCCCCCCGCCCGGCCAGCCGCCCCGUCCGGGAGGUGAGGGGCACCUCUGCCCAGCCGCCCCUACUGGGAAGUGAGGAGCCCCUCUGCCUGGCCAGCCACCCCGUCCAGGAGGGAGGUGGGGGAGUCAGCCCCCCACCCGGCCAGCCGCCCCGUCCGGGAGGGAGGUGGGGGGGUCAGCCCCCCGCCCGGCCAGCCGCCCCGUCCGGGAGGGAGGUGGGGGGGUCAGCCCCCCGCCCGGCCAGACGCCCCGUCCGGGAGGUGAGGGGCGCCUCUGCCCGGCCGCCCCUACUAGGAAGUGAGGAGCCCCUCUCCCAGCCACCACCUCGUCUGGGAGGUGUACCCAACAGCUCAUUGAGAACGGGCCGGGAUGACAAUGGCGGUUUUGUGGAAUAGAAAGGGGGGAAAGGUGGGGAAAAGAUUGAGAAAUCGGAUGGUUGCCGGGUCUGUGUAGAAAGAAGUAGACAUGGGAGACUUUUCAUUUUGUUCUGUACUAAGAUAAAUUCUUCUGCCUUGGGAUCCUGUUGAUCGGUGACCUUACCCCCAACCCUGUGCUCUCUGAAACAUGUGCUGUGUCCACUCAGGGUUAAAUGGAUUAAGGGCGGUGCAAGAUGUGCUUUGUUAAACAGAUGCUUGAAGGCAGCAUGCUCGUUAAGAGUCAUCACCACUCCUUAAUCUCAAGUACCCAGGGACACAAACACUGCGGAAGGCCGCAGGGUCCUCUGCCUAGGAAAACCAGAGACCUUUGUUCACUUGUUUAUCUGCCAACCUUCCCUCCACUAUUGUCCUAUGACCCUGCCAAAUCCCCCUCUGCGAGAAACACCCAAGAAUGAUCA
rnacentral:lncRNA from 1 species